UACGUAGGGUCCGAGCGUUGUCCGGAAUUAUUGGGCGUAAAGGGCUCGUAGGCGGUCCGUCACGUCGGGAGUGAAAACUCAGGGCUCAACCCUGAGCGUGCUUCCGAUACGGGCGGACUAGAGGUAUGCAGGGGAGAACGGAAUUCCUGGUGUAGCGGUGGAAUGCGCAGAUAUCAGGAGGAACACCGGUGGCGAAGGCGGUUCUCUGGGCAUUACCUGACGCUGAGGAGCGAAAGCGUGGGUAGCGAACAGG
rnacentral:rRNA from 1 species